rnacentral:antisense_RNA from 1 species
CUUAAUGGUGGCUGUGCGCAUGGCACCUUCGGGUGCGCCGGGGUGGGAUGCGACCGGUCCGCUAACUUGCGCACAGCUGCCUCCCUU